UACGUAGGCGGAAAAUUAAGUCAGUAGUGAAAUCCUGCAGCUUAACUGUAGAACUGUUAUUGAUACUGGUUUUCUUGAAUAUAGUUGAAGUAGGCGGAAUGUGUAAUGUAGCGGUGAAAUGCUUAGAUAUUACACAGAACACCGAUUGCGAAGGCAGCUCACUAAGCUAUGAUUGACGCUGAGGUACGAAAGCGUGGGGAGCGAACAGGAUUAGAUACCCUGGUAGUCC
rnacentral:rRNA from 1 species